UACGAAGGGGGCUAGCGUUGCUCGGAAUCACUGGGCGUAAAGGGCGCGUAGGCGGCCUUCUAAGUCGAACGUGAAAUCCCUGGGCUCAACCCAGGAACUGCGUCCGAUACUGGAAGGCUUGAAUCCGGGAGAGGGAUGCGGAAUUCCAGGUGUAGCGGUGAAAUGCGUAGAUAUCUGGAGGAACACCGGUGGCGAAGGCGGCAUCCUGGACCGGCAUUGACGCUGAGGCGCGAAAGCUAGGGGAGCAAACGGG
rnacentral:rRNA from 1 species